rnacentral:rRNA from 1 species
ACGGCUCAGUAACACGUGGACAACCUACCCUGAGGUCGGGGAUAAACCCGGGAAACUGGGUAUAAUACCCGAUAGAUCUAGAUCGCUGGAAUGCUUUUAGGUCUAAAGUUCCGACGCCUCAGGAUGGGUCUGCGGCCUAUCAGGGUAGUAGUGGGUGUAAAGUACCUACUAGCCUACGACGGGUACGGGUUGUGAGAGCAAGAGCCCGGAGAUGGACUCUGAGACACGAAUCCAGGCCCUACGGGGUGCAGCAGGCGCGAAACCUUUACAAUGCUGGCAACAGCGAUAAGGGGACCUCGAGUGCUACGAUACAAUCGUGGCUGUCUAGUUGCCUAAAAAGCAAUUGAUAGCAAGGGCCGGGCAAGACCGGUGCCAGCCGCCGCGGUAACACCGGCGGCUCGAGUGGUAACCGCUAUUAUUGGGUCUAAAGGGUCUGUAGCCGGCUUAGUUAGUCUCUUGAGAAAUCUGGCCGCUCAACGGUCAGGCGUUCAGGGGAUACUGCUAAAGCUCGAGACCGGGAGAGGUGAGAGGUACUUCAGGGGUAGGGGUGAAAUCUUGUAAUCCUUGAAGGACCACCAGUGGCGAAGGCGUCUCACCAGAACGGAUCUGACGGCAAGGGACGAAAGCUAGGGGCACGAACCGGAUUAGAUACCCGGGUAGUCCUAGCCGUAAACGAUACUCGCUAGGUGUCGGCCACGGUGCGACCGUGGUCGGUGCCGUAGGGAAGCCGUGAAGCGAGCCACCUGGGAAGUACGGCCGCAAGGCUGAAACUUAAAGGAAUUGGCGGGGGAGCAC